GCGCUGGGGCUGCUCACAAUGCAAGUCGAACGGUGAACACGGAGCUUGCUCUGUGGGAUCAGUGGCGAACGGGUGAGUAACACGUGAGCAACCUACCCCUGACUCUGGGAUAAGCGCUGGAAACGGCGUCUAAUACUGGAUAUGUGAUGCGACCGCAUGGUCUGUAUCUGGAAAGAAUUUCGGUUGGGGAUGGGCUCGCGGCCUAUCAGCUUGUUGGUGAGGUAAUGGCUCACCAAGGCGUCGACGGGUAGCCGGCCUGAAAGGGUGACCGGCCACACUGGGACUGAGACACGGCCCACACUCCUACGGGAGGCAGCAGUGGGGAAUAUUGCACAAUGGGCGCAAGCCUGAUGCAGCAACGCCGCGUGAGGGACGACGGCCUUCGGGUUGUAAACCUCUUUUAGCAGGGAAGAAGCGAAAGUGACGGUACCUGCAGAAAAAGCACCGGCUAACUACGUGCCAGCAGCCGCGGUAAUACGUAGGGUGCAAGCGUUAUCCGGAAUUAUUGGGCGUAAAGAGCUCGUAGGCGGUUUGUCGCGUCUGCUGUGAAAUCCGGAGGCUCAACCUCCGGCCUGCAGUGGGUACGGGCAGACUAGAGUGCGGUAGGGGAGAUUGGAAUUCCUGGUGUAGCGGUGGAAUGCGCAGAUAUCAGGAGGAACACCGAUGGCGAAGGCAGAUCUCUGGGCCGUAACUGACGCUGAGGAGCGAAAGGGUGGGGAGCAAACAGGCUUAGAUACCCCUGGUAGUCCACCCCGUAAACGUUGGGAACUAUUUGUGGGGUCCAUUCCACGGAUUCCGUGUCGC
rnacentral:rRNA from 1 species